ACGUAGGGUGCAAGCGUUGUCCGGAUUUAUUGGGUUUAAAGGGUGCGUAGGCGGCCUGAUCAGUCAGUGGUUAAAGAUUGCGGCUUAACCGUAACCCGCCAUUGAUACUGUCAGGCUUGAGUGCAACAGAGGAAACUGGAAUGUGUGGUGUAGCGGUGAAAUGCAUAGAUAUCACACAGAACACCGAUUGCGAAGGCAGGUUUCUAUGUUGUUACUGACGCUGAGGCACGAAAGCGUGGGGAGCGAACAGG
rnacentral:rRNA from 1 species